UGAGGAAUAUUGGUCAAUGGGCGAGAGCCUGAACCAGCCAAGUAGCGUGCAGGAUGACGGCCCUAUGGGUUGUAAACUGCUUUUAUAUGGGAAUAAAGUGAGGGACGUGUCCCUUAUUGCAUGUACCAUACGAAUAAGGACCGGCUAAUUCCGUGCCAGCAGCCGCGGUAAUACGGAAGGUCCAGGCGUUAUCCGGAUUUAUUGGGCUUAAAGGGAGCGUAGGCUGUUUGUUAAGCGUGUUGUGAAAUGUAAGAGCUCAACUUUUAGAUUGCAGCGCGAACUGGCAGACUUGAGUGCGCACAACGUAGGCGGAAUUCAUGGUGUAGCGAUGAAAUGCUUAGAUAUCAUGACGAACUCCGAUUGCGAAGGCAGCUUACGGGAGCGCAACUGACGCUAAAGCUCGAAGGUGCGGGUAUCGAACAGG
rnacentral:rRNA from 1 species